rnacentral:rRNA from 1 species
ACUCCUACGGGAGGCAGCAGUGGGGAAUAUUGCACAAUGGGCGCAAGCCUGAUGCAGCCAUGCCGCGUGUGUGAAGAAGGCCUUCGGGUUGUAAAGCACUUUCAGUCGUGAGGAAGGUAGUGUAGUUAAUAGCUGCAUUAUUUGUACGUUAGCGACAGAAGAAGCACCGGCUAACUCCGUGCCAGCAGCCGCGGUAAUACGGAGGGUGCGAGCGUUAAUCGGAAUUACUGGGCGUAAAGCGCAUGCAGGUGGUUUGUUAAGUCAGAUGUGAAAGCCCGGGGCUCAACCUCGGAAUUGCAUUUGAAACUGGCAGACUAGAGUACUGUAGAGGGGGUAGAAUUUCAGGUGUAGCGGUGAAAUGCGUAGAGAUCUGAAGGAAUACCGGUGGCGAAGGCGGCCCCUGGACAGAUACUGACACUCAGAUGCGAAAGCGUGGGAGCAAACAGGAUUAGAUACCCCUGGUAGCGACUGA